UGUGGUGGGCGAGAUUGACGGGAGGAUCGGUAGGCUGGGAGAUGCCGGGAAGUCUUCCUUGAGACUGGAUUAGAAAACAAAAAUCUGGUGAAAUUUGCGGCAGGAGGGAGUUAAGGACGUUCCAGGCAGAGGCAAGCUGGAAGAAUCAGAGAAAAGACCAUGCAACAGCCAUACCUAAUGAGAGAAGGGGGAGUUCUGGAGGGAAUACAGUCACAAGGAGGAAUCCUCUAUUUCUGUGUAUGAAUUCCACCCAAGUCUCAAGCUCACUUCUGAAUCACAUGUGCUCAACAGAAACUCAGAGUCUUAAAGAAAUGAACUGGGAUUUAAGUUACCACUCACAAAAAGUGAGACAAAGCCUCUGAUACAAGUCUAAGUUAAUUGCCUGCUUAAGUGUUUUUUCUUAAGGAAUAUGUGAAAGAAAAAUAGAAUCUUGGGACACCAAACUCACUAUGCCAAAGGGAAAGUGAAGCUUGGGAGUUGAGUCACUAGCAAAAACUGCAUUCCUUUAAUCCCAAAUAACUAUACUUUUACAUGUUUAUUUUAUCUUGUGUAAAAUCUAGAUUUAGAUUUCUCAUCUUUUGAAAAAGAUUUUCUUUUCAAUUAUGCCUGAGAAGAAUGCAUAAUUGACUUUUCCCUUACUCCCUUCUUUUCAUAUGUAAUCACUGGACAAGCAGAGCCUCAUAAGGAUGUAACGAUUUUCCUACUUGCUCACCCACUCCUUUUUUUCUUCCCCUCAUGCUUGCCCUUUUCUCUUUAAAUAUUGAAGUUUCAAAACCCUCUUUGGAAAAAGUUCAGGUUACAGAUUCUACUUUGACUUGUGUUUCUUAGUCACCGGUGUGCCCUCAGCCUUGGCAAAAUAAACCUCUGAGAUCUGCCUCAGUUACUUUUUGGUUUACAACUAGAACUCAAGGCAUAUACUGAAUAACAUACACAAUGUUCAGAAUAAAACCCAAAAUGACUUGAUAUACAAAGAACUAGAAAAAUGUUAAACAGUCUCAAGGAAAACAAAUGGCAACCCUAGGAUGAUCCGGAUGUUGGAAUUAUUAGACAGGAUCUUUAAAGGAUCUCUUUGACUGUGCUUAAGGAGGUAAUUGACUCCAUCGAUGACUAUCUGAACAAGCUCCACCUUUGACAGUGAAGAAGAUGAAUUAUUAAUUUGAAUAGAAGACACCUGCAGGGCAGUGACAGGAACAACACUGGGAUAAAUGAGAACUUGCCACUUAGAUGGACUUCACCACAAUUUCUUUCUCCUCAAAGAUGGAAGUUAUUUCCCAUGGAAAAAUAAUGUUACAGAAUGAAAAGCUAACAUAACUCAGGACUGGAUGGGUGAAGAGGAGGCCUCGAAUUCUGUGAAAACGGGAACUGCCUUCAGCUCUCUGCAACAGAAGAACCCAAAGGGUGGACCUGAAGCAACAGAAGAACCCAAAGGGUGGGCCUGAAGGAGGAAGUCUGCAGGCAUUUGCCUCGGCAGAGAGACUACUCUGUGGAGGGGAUGCAUGGUGGCUGCGUUCUGUUCCAGCCAACCACUCUGUGCUUCUGCACGGAGGAUGACGAUGCUGUUUGACAGACCAGAUGCUCUUUUGAACUUUGCCACUAGACCACAACUAGACCCUGAACAGGAUGGAUUUCUGGACUUCUGAAAGGUAGGAGAAAUUUCUGAGGACCACCCUCCCACUCUGCUAAAGUUGGGAUGCCAGCAAUGGGGAUGGGGGCCGAGACUGGGAUUCCCUCAUUGGAGUAGGUCCUUUGAAAGAGGUUGAAGUGGCACAAAGUCAGCAGACCCCAUCCUCUGACUCCCACCUGAAGCAGGCCUAAAAGCUCUCUGAGGAAAUUAUAUUCAGUUUAGGCCCUCGAUUCCUACAGAUUAAGAUGAAAGAACAAACUCCCAAAGAUCACCAAACACACAAUGAACAAGAGUCAACAGAAGAAAUAACAGAUUUAGACUGCUAACGACUGAAGAUGUUUAGGACUGUCAAACAAUAGUAUAAAUAAGCCCUCGAUUGAAUGUUUAAAGAACUAAGUGUGGAAUCAUAAUUAUGAGCAAGCAACAAGAGACUAUUAAGAAUGACCAAGCUGAUUUGAAAGAAUCAAAUUAAACUACACAUUAUGACACAGCUGAACAUAGAACAGAUGAACUGGAAGAUAUUAUCUUAAGAAAUUACUCAUAAUAUAUCACAGAGAAAUGAGAAAAUGGAAAAUAGAUAUAAAUUAAGAGAGAUGAUGGAUAGAAUGUCAAGCUCAAAUACACAUCAAAUUGAAGUCCCAGAAAGACAGACCAGAGAAAACAGAGAAGUCAAAUUUGAAGAGGAAUAACUGAGACAUUUUUAGAACUGAUAAAAGAAUCGGUGAUUCAAGAGAUAUAAUCUAAGUAAACAAAAAAAUUGACACUUAAACAAAUAAUAAUGAAACUGCAGAUUAUUGGUGACCAAGAUGUGAAAAGCAGUCAGAAAGAAAAGACACUUUAUCUACAAAGAAAUGACAAACAUGAACUGAUUUUUCAGUAAUGAGCCCAGGUAAAUAAUAUUUUUAGAACCAAUAACUAUUAACCUAGAACUGGGGGACUAGUCUAACCAUUUUUUCAAAAUGAGAGUGAAAAAACAUAUUGAUAAAAAACAGAUCAAUAACAGGAAUUACUAAACUAUAUGCUUGAGAAAGAAAGGAAAUGACAGCAAAAGGAGAGCCUAAAAUGCAGAAAAUGGAAAAAGCAUGUAUAAAUUAAAUAAAAUUUAUAUACUUAUUUAUAAUACAAGUACUAAGCUACCAACAAAUGAUGAGAAACAGGAUAAACAUGCACAGACAGAAACCCUGCUGGGUCUGCUAGUGCCCCAAGAUUAGAAGGGCCAGUUAGCCCUACAGUAUUACCUAGCAGGAGCUAUGCAACAUGGCUCUUUGAGUAGAGAACAAAAGAGCAGGUACCUCUCAGUACUUACUCUCUGAUGUUCAUGAUGCCCAUAUAAAGAGUGUAUGGGCCAGCCACGGUAGCUCACGCCUGUAAUCCCAGCACUGGGAGGCUGUGGUGGACAGAUCAAUUGAGGCCAGGAGUUUAAGAUCAGCCUGGACAACAUGGCAAAACGCUGUCUCUACUAAAAAUACAAAAAAUUAGCUGGGUGUGGUGGCAUGCAUCUGUAGUCCCACCUACUCAGGAGGCUAAGGCAUGAGAAUCACUUGAACCCAGGAGGCAGAGGUUGCAGUGAGCCAAGAUUACACCACUGCAAUCCAGCCUGGGUGACAGAGUGAAACUCUAUUUCAAAAAAAAAAAAAAAGGAAAAGUAUGGAUUUCCCUAACAUUUGGAAGGCCCCCAAGACUCAGCUGGAAGCUGUUCCAAGCUUAGAUGGAUUGAUUGCUUCAAAGAACUUGCUGAUGUGGAAGACUGUAGCUGAAAACCUGGGCUAUCCAGUGAAGGAUAAACAACUCUCCCAAAAAGUUGAACCAUCAUUUGGAAGCUUCUGCUAAACCUGAAUGUCCCCACUAAAAGCAUCAAAAACCUUGAAAACAUUUGAGAAGUUGUUUAUCUGCAUUAGCCCAGGGAAUUAGAUUAGUUCUUCCAUGCUAAUAUCUGCAAACAAUUCUUUUAAUUCUAAAGACAACAUAAGUUACUAAGACAAAUUAGUCAUUUCUUGAAGUUGUCCUGGGGACUUGUAAAGACCCAACAUUAAAUCUGAUCAUGUAAACUUUGCUCCCUUACUAGAUUUCAGGUUGUCUUGUAAGUAUCCCUCCGAGAAUGGAUAACGGCUCUUCAAGGAGCUGCACCAGUGCUUCCUGGUCCUUGCAUGCAGCAGGCAACACCAGCGCACAUCCUUUGGGCUAUCUUAUCUACUGUCACACCCUCAAAUCCACUUUCUAACUAGAGAGAGGCAAUGCUGACACUCUAGAGGUUUACUGUCGAACUCACCAAAGUCAAAGAAGCUCUGCCCAGAUUCUUUCCAGACAGUAUGGGCCUAAACAUAAGCCAGACAUGGUCUUCCUAAGCUGACUGGAAGUACAUUCCUUUCUGGGAUUGACCCAAAUAACUUGAUCUUUUCCUUUCCUUAAAUUGCCUAUCCAGUGACAGGUGUUCAAGUCAGAGUCUGGGAGGAUAAAUCUUAGGAAUCAGAGCCAAGAGGAAGGGGAGGGAUUGGUCUCCAUGAACAGCCAGGUGACCACUGGAGGUUUUCAAAGGUCUUCCUCGGUCUUCCUCCCUAUAAGGGUGAUGUGUGAGUGGGCAUCUGGCUCAAAAUAUAAUGUUUGACGUGUCAUCUAUAUGUUAGUUCCUAGAAGGAACUUAUUCUAAUUAAUUUAGAAUUAGUAAUUAAUUUAUUCUCAGAGUUCCAACACUGCCCUUGUAUCUGAGCAACAAAGGAUGAUUCAUGCAGAUAAUCCUGGGGAGGCUUUGGUCGAGACUAGCAAAGCAAUCUUGAAACUGAAAUUCCUCCGUGUCCUUGCUUUGAUUCCUUAGAGAGAAUUGAUACAGACUCCAAGUUUUAGUGAAGCAAAGAAUUCCUGCUUCCUUGACUCUGAUUUUCUCUUGCCAGGACACAAAGAGGCAUUGAAUUUCACCCUUAGGCCUUAAUUAGUAACCUUGUUUGUGAAAUUGAAACAAAGGUCUCAGUGAAAGGCUGGCAAUGGCUGUUCCAUGCUCUCUGAAGACCCAGAAUCAAGGCUUGCAACGAAAUCACUUUUCCUCAUGACUAAACUAAAUCUCUCUUGCAUGUUAAAAGUCUUUUAAAAGCUGUGCAGUCAGAACAUUGCUUUGGCUUUCACAUUUCCCUGUUACCUGGCAGGCCCCAAAUGUUACACAAGCAUUCUCUGCAGCUGUAACCACUACUCAGAAGAGGCUUGACUUGUUAUUUGCACACAUGAUAACGUGGCAUAAAUAAGUAAAGCUGGGAAGAUGUUUGUAAGGGGUUAUCUGUGUCUACCAAAGCAGAUAGUAUUUAGUUUCCAAACAUGGUUUUAUAAGUCAGUAUAUCUUGUGCUACCAUCAGGACAGAAGUUUGGAACAAAAAGAAAUCUGAGGCUCACUUGCAAAGCUUUUUUAAUGUUUUCAAUUCCCUCCAUGUUCUGGGCAUUAUUAUUACAUACUCAAUUGUUCUGUUCAGAGAUCACUAGGGAGAGGAGAUGAGGAACCAGAGCAGCCAGGAUGUUUCUCCCUGGGAUAAAAGCUCAAGCAUUCAGACAGCCUCACCGUGGGCUCCACUUCUGUAGCCAGAGGGGAUUGCAAACAGCAGGAGCAUCUCACAUACAGCUUGUAGGAAGCACACAUCUUUUCCCCAAAUGUUUUGUUUGGUAGUUGGUCCUUGCUGGCUGAUCCAACUUCCCCGUCAGCAUAUGAUGAGCAGUUGAGUGAGAUGACCACACUUCCAAUCCUGGCAGGUACGGGUCUAUACAAGGACCUUCUCCCAGGGAACCCUGGCUGCUAGAUACCAUAAGGCUGAGGGAAUCUGCCUUCUCAACUUCGCUGCUGCCCAUGUUCCUUCCCACCAUCCCCUUCGCUCUAAUUGGCCCUGUUUUCCGGCCUCACAUCUACCACUGUGCCAUCUUAGAUCAGUUAAACAGCCUAGGAAUGGCUUCUAGCCCAAGCAGGAAGCACAGAAUUCAUCCAUCACCCACUAAAUCCCAGGCACUGUGCUAGGUGAUGAUGAUAUGAAAGUGAGCAAAAUAAACAGUUCUGUCCUGUGGGGGCUUCUAAUUCAUUUGUGGCAGACAGUCAAGAAACAAAAUCAUCAUAGGUGGGGUGAGUGCAGAGAAGGAAAUAAGCAGGAUAUCAUUCAGGGAAAGUAGAAGUGAUACUUUCAAAUAGGCUAGUCAGGAGCAAAGAGAAUAGAACAGCAAAGCCUCAAAGCUGGACAGAUCUGGACUUGCCCCAGAACAGAAAGGAGGUCAGUGGGGCUGAAGCACAGGGAACAAAUCACAGUGGACUGCGGGAAGGGUGGAGGGGUGGGGUUGAGGGGAGCCAGCUGCUCAGGGCCCUGAGAACACCGUAAGGAGUCUGGAGUUUAUUCCAGUGCAGAGGAAAUUCACAGAUGUGCUUACAAGCAGGAGAGGAGCUGAACUGAUUUCAUCAGUUACAGGGGCAGCUCUGGCUGCCAGUGGAGAAUGGCUUAGAGGGACAUGUGCAGAAUGGAAGCAGAGAGCAGUCAGAGAGGCCCUGGAGGUUGUCCCGUGAGAGAUGAGGUGCUGAGACCCCGGUGAGUUGGCGAGGAUGAGAAAGAAUGUAUUUGCACUCUGUUGUGGGGCAGAACUGACAGGUCUUGCUAAUGGUUUGGAAAUGUAAGAGAAAAUCAGGGAUGCCUGAGAUUUCUGUCCUACAGUUGGUAGGGUGGUGAGGCCCUUAGGUUUUGGGGCCUGCUGGUAUGAGAGCAGUUGGAGAGUAGAGGGUUGCUGGCAGAGGUGGCCCCAGGCCUCUCCCACUGCAGCCACUGGGAUUCCUCACAGCUCUAGCCGUGCUGCGCCCUCUGCCUGCUUACCUGCUACCCUAUCUCAGCUUUCCCAUCCCGCUAGCUGCUGGGACUCUUUCAAAGGCUUCAUAACACCUACACUGAAGGCCUGGCCAUCAGGCCCCAUUUCUGCCCAGCACCACUACAGAGACUGCUGUACCCAGUGGUGACAUUGUGCCCUAUGAACUUCCCCACAUUCUCUUCAACUCCCAGAUGACCUCAGAUGUAGCUGCUCUCUCAGGCCUUCAGAGUACCUGUCCACCCAAAUGAGUAAUAUUUGCAUUACAAGGAGGAAAAAGGAGAGAGGAAUGGGGAACCACUGGGUACCUGCUGUUGUCCCUCUUUUCCAGAUGAAACCAGAUACUCCUCUAUGAAGUUAAGUGACUUGUGUCAGGGUUACACUGCUAGUGAGUGACGGAGAUGGAAUUUGAAUGCACACCUGUCUGACUCCACCUCCCAUGUUCUUUCUGCAUGGCCACCAAGCUCCACUGUCCUUCCUUGCUCUCUGGGAGGUGGCAACCCUCUCUUUCCACCCACUUUCUGGAUCUUGACAAGUGGUUCUGCCCUGCCCCAGCUGUCAAAGCCUGCAACCGCUGCAAAAAAAAAAAAAAAAAAAAAAACCUCAACACAAGUGCACUUUGGACCUCUGUCAUGUGUUGAUGUCACAGAUGCUGUACUGGGCCUUUGACUCCUUGAUAUAAAGCCAGGAUUCCUUCCUGGAGGCCAUAAGGUGGACAGAGGUGGGAAGCAGUCAGGAAUAUAAUAGACUGUCCAAAAGUGUUAUUUGAGAGGCAAGAGGCAGGGUGAGGAGGGCAGUCGGUGGGUUUUCAUGAAAAGCGAUGCACGGCCGGGCAUGGUGGCUCAUGCCUGUAAUUCCAACAUAUUGGGAGGCCAAGGCAGGCAGAUCACUUGAGGUCAGGAGUUCAAGACCAACCUGGCCAACAUGGCGAAACCCCAUCUCUACUAAAAAUAACAGAAAUUACCUGGGCAUGGUUGUGGGUGCCUGUAAUCCCAGCUACUUGGGAGGCUGAAGCAGGAGAAUUAUUAGAACCUGGGAGGUGGAGGCUGCAGUGAGUUAAGAUUGUGCCUGUGAACUACAGCCUGGGCAACAGAGUAAAACUGUCUCAAAAAAAAGAAAAAAAAAUGGGGGAUGCAUGCUCACACAAAGGAAUCCUAACAGAAGAAAAAUGGCAUGAUCGGUUUCCUCCUAUGUAGCACUGUGAUGAAAGAACACCUUUCAGGUAUGUGCCUUGAUGGAGGAAGGGGGGCAGUGAGAGGUUUGAGGACAAGCCGCUGAUAACCCUCAUGUAUCAUCACAGUGGCGCCCUUUGGGAGCCUCCUCUAGUGAGCUAGUCCACUCUGGGAAGAGGAAUUGUCUUAUCCACAAUUCUGUCUUCAACAUUGAAAUUCCUCUGGGCAAAGCCUAAAAGAGAGCUGCCUCAUUUCAUGUAACUAUAGUGUAUGUAGUGAAGAGGCUCCAAUGUGUUUUCAAGGCAGUCCGAGAGCUCUUUCUGGAAAUCCUAGGCUGAUGACAUCUGCAUCUAAUUCUAAUUUGUCUUACAACCAGGCUGAGACCUUCAGCAUCAUCAGACUGUGGAACUGCUCAGGUCAGGACAGGCAGAUAGAAAGGCCCACAUGGAUAGUGGUUCCUCCUCCCAGGAGGCCCACACCAGGAAGGGGCACGUGAUGUUAAUGUGAGGCAAGCAGUUAUGUCUUGUGAUUUCCAUGAAUUACACUAAGGAAGUUUAUCUCACUUGGUUCGUGACUUCUGUUAGUGAAAAGUAGCUUGCUGGCCUAUACUGUGGUGGACUUGCAGAAAACUUCCCAGCCACAAGGUUCAGGCAGAAGGUUCAGACAUCUCCCCUGGUUCCUCCCCAACCCAUUUAGUGUGAAACAAGACAAAGGGAAACAUUUCAUUCAAUCUAUUUUUGGGGAAAGAGGCAACUGUCAACUAAGAUUGUAUUAGAGACCAGGCAUGGUGGCUCACACCUGUAAUCACAGCACUUUGGGAGGCCAGGGCGGGCAGAUCACCUGAGGUCAGGGGUUCGAGACCAGCCUGGCCAACAUGGCAAAACUCUGUCUCCACUAAAAAUACAAAAAAAUAUUAGCCGGCACGGUGGCACAUGCCUGUAAUCUCAGCCACUCAGGAGGCUGAGGCAUGAGAAUCGCUUGAACCUGAGAGGUGGAGGUUGCAGUGAGCCGGGAUCACACGACUGCCCUCUUGCAGCCUGGGUGAUAGAAAGUGUCUCAAAAAAGAUCCUGUUAGGAAUUUGAUGAAAGCUCACACAGUUCAUGCACACAUCAUUUGGGACCUGUCACGGGGCCCUAGAACAUCAGGACACAGUAGCCUGCCUCACAUUCAGCUGCAUGGCGCUAGAGCCCUGCAUGAUCUCAACUUGAAAAACAUGUAUGUAUAUAUACAUUUGUGUAUUCUACUAUUAAAUACUGUAUAUGACUUUUUAAAAGAUUGGUUUGCUGUUUCUGUUUUGUGCUAAUGCAAUAAAUCUUACUAAUUUGUUUUAGAAAAUGUUA